GCUUGCCCGGGGCGAGCCAGGGCUUUCCUGUCCACUGGGCCCCUCCAGGCCCUGGGAGACCGCCACUGGAGCCCUGACUCUUCUUGGCAG
ensembl:miRNA